GGCGGACGGGUGAGUAACGCGUGGAUAACCUGGCGUAUACAGGGGGAUAACACUUAGAAAUAGGUGCUAAUACCGCAUAAGCGCACGGUUCCGCAUGGAACAGUGUGAAAAACUCCGGUGGUAUACGAUGGAUCCGCGUCUGAUUAGCCAGUUGGCGGGGUAACGGCCCACCAAAGCGACGAUCAGUAGCCGGCCUGAGAGGGUGAACGGCCACAUUGGGACUGAGACACGGCCCAAACUCCUACGGGAGGCAGCAGUGGGGAAUAUUGCACAAUGGGGGAAACCCUGAUGCAGCGACGCCGCGUGAGUGAAGAAGUAUUUCGGUACGUAAAGCUCUAUCAGCAGGGAAGAAAAAAAGUCCUUUGGACUUUGGACGGUACCUGACUAAGAAGCCCCGGCUAACUACGUGCCAGCAGCCGCGGUAAUACGUAGGGGGCAAGCGUUAUCCGGAUUUACUGGGUGUAAAGGGAGCGUAGACGGCAGCGCAAGUCUGGAGUGAAAUGCCGGGGCCCAACCCCGGAACUGCUUUGGAAACUGUGCAGCUGGAGUGCAGGAGAGGUAAGCGGAAUUCCUAGUGUAGCGGUGAAAUGCGUAGAUAUUAGGAGGAACACCAGUGGCGAAGGCGGCUUACUGGACUGUAACUGACGUUGAGGCUCGAAAGCGUGGGGAGCAAACAGGAUUAGAUACCCUGGUAGUCCACGCCGUAAACGAUGAUUACU
rnacentral:rRNA from 1 species